rnacentral:rRNA from 1 species
AGUUUGAUCCUGGCUCAGGAUGAACGCUAGCUACAGGCUUAACACAUGCAAGUCGAGGGGCAGCAUGUCGGUUGCUUGCAACCGAUGAUGGCGACCGGCGCACGGGUGAGUAACGCGUAUCCAACCUACCCUUGUCCAUCGGAUAACCCGUCGAAAGGCGGCCUAACACGAUAUGCGGUUCACCGCAGGCAUCUAACGUGAACGAAAUGUGAAGGAGAAGGAUGGGGAUGCGUCUGAUUAGCUUGUUGGCGGGGUAACGGCCCACCAAGGCUACGAUCAGUAGGGGUUCUGAGAGGAAGGUCCCCCACAUUGGAACUGAGACACGGUCCAAACUCCUACGGGAGGCAGCAGUGAGGAAUAUUGGUCAAUGGACGAGAGUCUGAACCAGCCAAGUAGCGUGCAGGAUGACGGCCCUAUGGGUUGUAAACUGCUUUUAUAGGGGGAUAAAGUGUGCCACGUGUGGCAUAUUGCAGGUACCCUAUGAAUAAGGACCGGCUAAUUCCGUGCCAGCAGCCGCGGUAAUACGGAAGGUCCAGGCGUUAUCCGGAUUUAUUGGGUUUAAAGGGAGCGUAGGCCGUUUGGUAAGCGUGUUGUGAAAUGUCGGGGCUCAACCUGGGCAUUGCAGCGCGAACUGCCAGACUUGAGUGCGCAGGAAGUAGGCGGAAUUCGUCGUGUAGCGGUGAAAUGCUUAGAUAUGACGAAGAACCCCGAUUGCGAAGGCAGCCUGCUGUAGCGCAACUGACGCUGAAGCUCGAAAGCGUGGGUAUCGAACAGGAUUAGAUACCCUGGUAGUCCACGCGGUAAACGAUGGAUGCUCGCUGUUUGCGUCUGACGUAAGCGGCCAAGCGAAAGCGUUAAGCAUCCCACCUGGGGAGUACGCCGGCAACGGUGAAACUCAAAGGAAUUGACGG